rnacentral:misc_RNA from 1 species
AAAAAAGACACAGAAGCUCCAGUGGUCAUCCUAAACAAAAAAUGAUACAGCAACAUAGAGAUUGUAGAAUGAACCAUCAUCUUUCACUGACCUCCAUAUCCUACAUCCCUAAUGUCCCCCAUGAACUCAUGAUUUGGGAAAAAUAAGUCAUCUUAAAAGAAUGCAAUCAAAACAUAAAUGUGCAGAAUUAUGUCCUAAUUAAUACUUAGACGACUUAUUGAUGCAAUAGGUUUACAACCUAUCACAAAAUGGAUAAUAAAAAGCACACUUGCUAGAAACACUGAUACUAAUCAAGCACUUAACGUCAAUACAACCACAAGUACACAACACCAAGCCAACUGUCGUUUGCAGAGCAUCAUAGUUAUUCUCAAGUCAUUUCAGUAUGCCUUAGAGGCAACCACUCAGCUCUCCAUUCCACUCAUUACACGCUUGCAUACCAUGCACAGAUCCCCCCAGAGGAAAAAAGUAAGGCACUGAUAAA